GACGAACCGUGCGAACGUUAUUCGGAAUCACUGGGCUUAAAGGGCGCGUAGGCGGGUCAUCAAGUCCGGGGUGAAAGCCCACGGCCCAACCGUGGAAGUGCCUUGGAUACUGAUGGCCUCGAGGGGGAUAGGGGCGUGCGGAACUCAGGGAGGAGCGGUGAAAUGCGUAGAUAUCGGGAAGAACACCCAUGGCGAAGGCGGCCCGCUGGGCAGUGGCUGACGCUGAGGGACGAAAGCCAGGGGAGCGAACGGG
rnacentral:rRNA from 1 species